CCUACGGGAGGCUGCAGUGGGGAAUAUUGGGCAAUGGGCGCAAGCCUGACCCAGCAACGCCGCGUGAAGGAAGAAGGCUUUCGGGUUGUAAACCUCUUUUCUGAGGGACGAAGAAAGUGACGGUACCUCAGGAAUAAGCCACGGCUAACUACGUGCCAGCAGCCGCGGCAAUACGUAGGUGGCAAGCGUUAUCCGGAUUUAUUGGGUGUAAAGGGCGUGUAGGCGGGAAAGCAAGUCAGAUGUGAAAACUCAGGGCUCAACCCUGAGACUGCAUUUGAAACUGGUUGUCUUGAGUGCUGGAGAGGCAGUCGGAAUUCGGUGUGUAGCGGUGAAAUGCGUAGAUAUACGGAGGAACACCAGUGGCGAAGGCGGAUUGCUAGACAGUAACUGACGCUGAGGCGCGAAAGCGUGGGGAGCAAACAGGAUUAGAUACCCGGGUAGUC
rnacentral:rRNA from 1 species